UGCGUGCACUGGUUCGGCCGGGCCUUUCCCUCUGGGGAGCCGCAUGCCCUUCACUGGGUGUGUCGGGGAACCAGGACUUUUACUUUGAACAAAUUAGAUCGCUUAAAGAAGGCCUAUGCUCGAAUACAUUAGCAUGGAAUAAUAGAAUAGGACGCGUGGUUCUAUUUUGUUGGUUUCUAGGACCGCCGUAAUGACUAAUAGGGACAGUCGGGGGCAUCAGUAUUCAAUUGUCAGAGGUGAAAUUCUUGGAUUUAUUGAAGACUAACUACUGCGAAAGCAUUUGCCAAGGAUGUUUUCAUUAAUCAGGAACGAAAGUUAGGGGAUCGAAGACGAUCAGAUACCGUCGUAGUCUUAACCAUAAACUAUGCCGACUAGGGAUCGGACGAUGUUAUAUUUUGACUCGUUCGGCACCUUACACGAAAGUAAAGUUUCUGGGUUCUGGGGGGAGUAUGGUCGCAAGGCUGAAACUUAAAGAAAUUGACGGAAGGGCACCACCAGGGGUGGAGCCUGCGGCUUAAUUUGACUCAACACGGGGAAACUCACCAGGUCCAGACACAAGUAGGAUUGACAGAUUGAGAGCUCUUUCUUGAUUUUGUGGGUGGUGGUGCAUGGCCGUUCUUAGUUGGUGGAGUGAUUUGUCUGCUUAAUUGCGAUAACGAACGAGACCUUAACCUGCUAAAUAGCCCGCAUUGCUUUGGCAGUGCGCCGGCUUCUUAGAGGGACUAUCGG
rnacentral:rRNA from 1 species